CUGAAACUGCAACCGUAUACGCAGAAAUCUGUGGCAAGUCGUCCCUGUCCGAAGCUUGCGUUCAAGUUCUUCGGUCCAUUCUCCGUCCUUGCUAGAAUCGGACCGGCAGGAUACAAGUUGGAGCUUCCUGUGGACAGCAGAAUUUACCCAGUGUUUCAUGUAUCGCAGUUGAAGCCAUUCACACCAAACUACAGCCCAAUAUUCUCUGAACUUCCAGCAACCACCGACCUGACGACACAUGAAACUGCUCCAGUGUCCAUCUUGGACAGAAGAAUGAUGAAAAAGGGCAACGCACCAGUGAUCCAACUGCAAGUAGCUUGGGAUACUACUCCACAGUCCAUCACCACGUGGGAAGACUAUGACGUGCUCCGCAAGCGUUACCCACAAGCUCGCAUCUGGGAAGAGGAAUCCAUGGAGGAAGAAGACUGUUCUGAAGAAGGGGAGAAUGUCAACACGGCAGUGCCAGCCACCACCGCGUGA
rnacentral:rRNA from 1 species